CACGUAGGGGGCAAGCGUUGUCCGGAUUUAUUGGGCGUAAAGGGCUCGUAGGUGGUUCGAUAAGUCGGGUGUGAAAACUCUGGGCUCAACUCAGAGACGCCACCCGAUACUGUCGUGACUUGAGUCUGGUAGGGGAGUGUGGAAUUCCCAGUGUAGCGGUGAAAUGCGCAGAUAUUGGGAGGAACACCAGUGGCGAAGGCGGCACUCUGGGCCAGUACUGACACUGAGGAGCGAAAGCGUGGGGAGCGAACAGG
rnacentral:rRNA from 1 species